GACAGAGGGUGCAAACGUUGUUCGGAAUUACUGGGCGUAAAGCGCACGUAGGCGGAUUUGUAAGUCAGAGGUGAAAUCCCGGGGCUCAACCUCGGAACUGCCUUUGAUACUGCAAAUCUCGAGUCCGGAAGAGGUGAGUGGAAUUCCUAGUGUAGAGGUGAAAUUCGUAGAUAUUCGGCGGAACACCAGUGGCGAAGGCGACUCACUGGCCCGAUACUGACGCUGAGGCGCGAAAGCGUGGGGAGCAAACAGG
rnacentral:rRNA from 1 species